GACCAACUCAAAAUACUUGUUCA
rnacentral:siRNA from 1 species